CUAAAGUACGGAAAUGGUGUCCUCUGCGUUUAUACUUAAUAUUUUGGUGAAUUUAGUACACUAACUAUAUCCAUACUAAAAACUCAAUUCACAUCACAAAUAGUGUGGUUAGUAUUCGAACACGUGCCUUUCAAAGUACAAUAUUCUCUUCAGAUGGUGGUUUUGCUUUUUCUGGAGGAACACCAUAACCCUUGCUUUAUCAAGGAGCUGCUGCAGGACCUGAGCUCCAUCCUGUGCAUCCUGACCUGGGGUGGGUAACAUCAACAUCUGGGUCUGUAGGCUGGAGACCAUUCUUAACUGGCAGCAGCAGCUCAACGACCGCAGAUACCCAAGGAUCUAAGCCCUAGGACCAUGCCUCAGGACUACCUGGCAUGAUGACUCCUUGCUGUCCCCAGUUCACCUGGCUGUGCUGCUGCUCCAGUUUCAACUGUUCUGCCUGCGGCUAUGGAAACCUGACCUGUUCACCGG
rnacentral:lncRNA from 1 species